UUCGGGUACCGAGCGUACACAGGUGCUGCAUGGCUGUCGUCAGCUCGUGUCGUGAGAUGUUGGGUUAAGUCCCGCAACGAGCGCAACCCUACGCUGAGUUACCAGCACGUAAAGGUGGGGACUCUCAGUGGACUGCCGGCGACAAGCCGGAGGAGGGUGGGGACGACGUCAAGUCAUCAUGGCCCUCAUGUCCAGGGCGACACACGUGCUACAAUGGCCGGCACAACGGGAAGCGACGGCGCGAGUCGUAGCGGAUCCCUCAAAGCCGGUCCCAGUUCGGAUUGCAGUCUGCAACUCGACUGCAUGAAGCCGGAAUCGCUAGUAAUCGUGGAUCAGCCAAGCCGCGGUGAAUACGUUCCCGGGCCUU
rnacentral:rRNA from 1 species